rnacentral:rRNA from 1 species
GACGAACGCUGGCGGCGUGCUUAACACAUGCAAGUCGAACGAUGAACCGAGGGCUUGCUCUUGGGGAUUAGUGGCGAACGGGUGAGUAACACGUGAGUAACCUGCCCUGGACUCUGGGAUAACCCCGAGAAAUCGGAGCUAAUAACGGAUACGACCCUGUACCGCAUGGUGCGGGGUGGAACGUUUUCUCGGGUCGGGCUGGACUCGCGGAGUAUCAGCUUGUUGGUGAGGUCAUGGCUCACCAAGGCGUCGACGGGUAGCCGGCCUGAGAGGGUGACCGGCCACACUGGGACUGAGACACGGCCCAGACUCCUACGGGAGGCAGCAGUGGGGAAUAUUGCACAAUGGGCGCAAGCCUGAUGCAGCAACGCCGCGUGCGGAAUGACGGCCUUCGGGUUGUAAACCGCUUUUAGUAAGGAAGAAGUGGAGCUUGCUCCUUGACGGUACUUGCAGAACAAGGACCGGCUAACUACGUGCCAGCCGCCGCAGUAAGAC